CAGCAGCCGCGGUAAUACAGAGGGUGCGAGCGUUAAUCGGAUUUACUGGGCGUAAAGCGUGCGUAGGCGGCUUCUUAAGUCGGAUGUGAAAUCCCUGAGCUUAACUUAGGAAUUGCAUUCGAUACUGGGAAGCUAGAGUAUGGGAGAGGAUGGUAGAAUUCCAGGUGUAGCGGUGAAAUGCGUAGAGAUCUGGAUGAAUACCGAUGGCGAAGGCAGCCAUCUGGCCUAAUACUGACGCUGAGGUACGAAAGCAUGGGGAGCAAACAGGAUUAGAUACCCGCGUAGUCCCUGUCUCUUAUCC
rnacentral:rRNA from 1 species